GCUUUCGUCAGACGCGUCCGGCGUCGUUGAUUAUAUUCUAAUCUCACUUCAUAUUUGACGCGAAUCUCCCCUGCCGUCAAUUACCCUUCAAAAAAAAAGUUACCCCACAAUUUUAGCAGCCCGAGUAAAUUUCGCCUGAUUGAAUCGUACCAACGACCUUGCCAUAUCAAGGGCGAGUAAAUCUCGCCUGCCAAAUCCACCCACCCCACCCCAUCUCGAAUUCCACGAGCUCGCCGAGCUCGCUCAUGGCGACGGAUGCAUCCACCACCACCCUCGUCUGCACCAAAAGCUCGUGAUGACUACAACUACUCCACCUCGCCAGUGCAGCCUCUUAUCCCUUCUCCAUCGAUCCCUGAUCUCAAUACAUACCGCAUGACCUGCUCGGCAAAGAAGCACCGUGCGAAUUCCUGAUCUCCCCCCGGCUGGCCCUGCCCCUUCACCAUCCCUCCUACCUCGUUGGUGCACCACAUCGGCUCGGCAAAGAAGCUGCGUGCGAAUCCCAGCCCCCCGCUAUGAAAAGUGAAGCACUCCAGCAAGAUUUGCAUCUGGAAUUUUGCUUGUUGGCUGUGAUGCUUGCUGUACUCUGUUAGUGCUUGCAGUAGUAGCAACAGGCAAGAGAGGAAUGUGAGUAGUGCUCUGUUAGUGCAAUUUUGCUUGAGUGAAAUGCUUGUACUCCUUGUGUUAGUACUGGAGUAGCAUAAUUUGUGUUCUUGGCUUUCAACUCUGGAAUAAAAAUUUAAAUCCAAUGUACAGUUGCUGAAACUUUCAGUACAACAGGGAGUAUUCUGAAACUGUUCAGUACUCCAGGAACCUAUUUUACUCCAUUUUGUGAGACUUGUAUGUGUAACUCCAUUUUGUGAUCAUUUUUACUCCAUAUAUUUUUUCUCCA